UGGCAUCCACUGAUAGACCUAAAGCAAAAUGUAUUGGCUUUUUGGUUUGCACUCGGAUGCAAUAUCAAAUUCCUUGCACUUUCUGGCUGUCACAUUUGGCAGAUUGGAUUGAAAAAAGGAAGACAUGA
ensembl:snoRNA